GCCAGCCAGAAGUCCCAUUCCUGCGCCCCUCUCUCUUGCAAGAGACGACGUCUCUUGGCAUGAGAAGACAAACCUCAGAUAUUGCCCCAGACAAUGAUGCUGCUUCAGAAGUGGGGCCAAGUUGGGAGGCCAAAAUGAAGCCAAGUUGAGAGCUAUGGACCAUCUGUUUGAGGAUCUCCCUCCACUCUGCAGGGUUGAGGCUGCCUGGCUGGGGUCCACAUUUCCAAGUCCCCUUUGCGUCUCAGAGAAAGCAGUGACCGGGUUCUGAACUAUGGAAUGAAGGGUCCUGCUCCCAGCUGUGCAAGCUGCAAGGAAGAACGAGCCCCCUCCUCCAAGGCCUCGACGGUCCACUCAGUCACCCACUUAAGAAUUCACCAAAUAAGUAAUGACUAAGUCUGACUGGGAGAAAAUGAAAGCUCUCUUGGAGGGGAAAACAAGUUACUCAUGCAACCAAGAGCAUAUCCUUGGCACCCUCCAUGAGUGGAGCCACGGCAGGAGGGGCAGACAGGAACAAACGGUGGCCAUGAAUCAUGCUGUGUGCGAGCUCCUUUGUUUCUAAGGCAUGUGGUUUCCAGAGAAACCAGGGAACACUGCCUUCAGGAUUAAUCUUGCCUGCCUCUUCCUACCUCCCAGGGCCUGGGUGCCAGUGAACAGAGGCUGAGAAGCACGCCAUCUGGAAGGAGAGACAGCCCCCAGCCACCAGGGGCCUUGGGUACCGGCACAGGAGGCAGGGAAGAGACCAGCCUACUGCCAUGUGAAGGAGGGCACCCUUUCUCUGCAUGGAGAUGUCUGGAGAUGGUGCCUGGGAGCUAGGGAUGGUCAGAGAUUUGGGGAAAGAGAGGGCUUCUGCCACAUCCAGGAGGGUUAGCUCACAGCCCACUUUAAACUCCAGCCCAGAAACUCUCUGGAGUUGUCUCCGUCUUAGGCCCAGCCAGCAACACAGAUCUGCAUGGGGGAUUUUAUCAUGGGGUGUCAUCUUUCUCAAAGAGCUCAACUCCAGGGCCUUCUGGGUUUCUAGGACUAUUUAGAGAGGACCCCUUCCCUCCUCUGAACGUGUUUGUCCAGCCUCAAAACCUCCGCAUGGAGCUAAAGGCUGGGGCUUCCAUUCAGGGUUCCCCACCCCUCUCCUCUGCUCCAGCCCUCUCCUCCCUCCUGUCACCUGGCCUCUGCUUUCAUUCCCUUCCUCAGCCCAUUCUAAUCUGCAGGCUCUCCUAAGCCAAGUUUGGUUUCUCAUUCCAAGUAUACCCUAACUCCCUAAGCAACAGUAAAGAUAUGCCCAUCUGCUCUCAGUUACCUGUGCCGAGAUGGGAGGCAGUAGUCAGGACUCACACCAAAACCAUAGGCCUUGCUCUCUGGAAUGUGUUGGCAAUGGUUUUAUAAUCUCCAUUCACAGCUGCCUUUGUUAGGUCACUAUUAAAAUGAACUUCAUUCUGCGAGCACGGCCCUGGUAUGAGGUAGGUGUUUUGUGGGGAUACAUGGGGGCCAAGUGGCACACCCUCGAACUGAGUACCCUGUCACACGUGGGUCAUGGAGCCAGCUCUACCCAGCUGUGUUCUUCCUCAGGUCUAGUUUUCCUGGGGAGGAACAAAUAGCACCAACAGACCCAGGAUCCAGUUGGAUGCAGAAAUUGUCUCUUGAAAGUGAGCAGUAUACUCAGACCAUCUGCUGAGAAGAGAGGUGAGAAAAUAAAUCCCCUUGGACUUAGACACAAGAAAGAGCAGCGAACAUGUUUGGAGCAGACGGCUCGGGAUCUCAGUCACAUGGCAGCUUCCCUCAGCUGAGUGCACAGAGCCUGCUAACUCGUGUCAUAGAAUGAACCCAGUAGUAUCUGCACCCUGGGUCACCCCCUACCUCGGGCCCCCACCUGUCACAUCUGGGUCUCCGCCCCAGCCUCUCUGCUCCCUGUCUCACCUUCAAUUCAGUCUCUGUUCCACUCUCACGGUGAGCAUUCCAAAAGGCAGAUCCCACCUUUCCAGGGUACCUUUCUAAGGCUCUAGUUUCUUCCAGAUAAGAUAUAAACUCUCCAGUCAUCUGGUGCCAGGGCCCCUCAGGCAUUCCCUCCAGCCAUUCUGAAGAAAGUUCAUCCCCCCAAACACUCAUCCCUGUCCACACUGCUCCUUCCCUGCCCCCUGCCUGGCUAAUUCCUUCUCACCCUUUCAGAUUCCCCAGGCAACCUUCCCUCCCCGCUCUUGAGUUUAGGCUCACUUCCACCCCUCAGGACUCACUGAAAGCCCCACGAGGGCCACUUCAUAGCUCUCACACUCUCUUCAUCUGCCUCUCCCUCUGCAGGGUGAGCUCCAUGAGGGCAGGGGCUGUGUCCUGUUCUCAGCUGAUCUCCAGAAUCCGAGUCCCCAGAAUCCAGUGUAGGAACUCCUGGGAAAAGCUCAAUAGUUCAUUUGCUUUCUUAUCCUCAUCACCAAAGCACGCAGAAGACUCACUGGGCCAAAGUAACCAUAGCAGCCCAUGGGAGAGUUGGUACAGCAAGUGCUUAAGCUGUGGGGCUCUAGACCCUGGGCUUGAAGCCUGACCCUGCUGCCCUUCAGCCACGUGACUGUGGCCAAGUUACUUAAGCCAAUAUUAGUACCUACUACAAUGGGUUGGUAAUGCAUGGAUUAAGUGAAUUAAUGUAUGUAAAUUGCUGAGAACAGGGUCUGACACACAGGAAGUGCCAUGCACGUGUUUGCUAAUAUUGUUAGCAGGAUGCUAACCCUUUGAGGGCAGGGACUGUGCUCUUCAUUCCCAGAUGUACACACAGUUCCUAGCAUAUAGUAGCAAAAUUGUCUACUGGAAAGCUUGGGAGGGAAACAAAAUUGGAUUCAUAUCCUGGCUGUGUGCUAUUGGGUAGGCUACGUGUUAACAGUGAAGCUGUCUCAUUAUCUGAAAAGCGUGCAGGUUGAUGUGAGGUUGAUAUGGUUUAAAUAUUUGUCCCCUCCAAAUUUCAUGUUGAAAUGUAAUCCUUAAUGUUAGAUGGGGCCUGGGGGGAGGUAUCAUGGCCUUUGGGUCAUGGGGGCAGAUCCCCCAUGAGUGGCUCCAUGCUGUCCCCAUGAUAAUGAGUGAGUUCUUGGUCUGAGUUCACAUGAGAUCUAGUUGUAUUAGUCCGUUUUCACACUGCUCUAAAGAUACUACCUGAGACUGGAUAAUUUAUAAGGAAAAGAGGUUUAAUUGACUCACAGUUCCACAUGGCUGGGAAGGCCUCAGGAAACUUACAAUCAUGGCAGAAGGGGAAGGAGAAACAAGCACCUUCUUCACAAGGCGGCGGGGGGUGGAAUGCCAAACACUUUAAAACGAUCAGAUCUCCUGAGAACUCACUCACUAUCACAAGAACGGCAUGGGGGAAAUUGCCCCCAUGAUCCAAUCACCUCCCGUCAGGUCCCUCCCUCAACACAUGGGGGUAACAAUUCAGAUUACAGUUCGAGAUGAGAUUUGGGUGGGGACACAGCCAAACCAUGUCACUGGUUGUUUAAAAGUGUGUGUGUGGCAUGUUGCCCCCACUUCUUGCACCCUCUCUCACCAUGUGAUGUGCCUUCUCCCACUUCCUCUUCUGCUAUGAGUAAAAGCUCCCUGAGGCCUCACCAGAAGCUGAGCAGAUGCUGGCACCAUGCUCCCUGUACAGCCUGCAGAACCAUGAGCCAAUUAAAUUUCUUUUCUUUAUAAAUUACUCAGCCUCAGGUAUUCCUUUAUAGCGACACAAAAUGGACUAAUGUAGAGGUUUAGAAUGCUGUUUGUAAAGCCCUAAUUAGCACAGUGCCUGGCCCCUAGUGAACACUGGAUAAAUGGUGGCUGUAAUCUUCAUUAGUAUUGCAGAAUGAAUGAGGUGACAGUGAGCAGCAGACCUCUGGGGCUGGAUUUACUGAUUACAUGAGUAAAUCUUCAGGAAAACUGCACUCCCAUGGGCAGGUCCAACUACAUAAAAUUUGGAGACUGGUACAAAAUGAAAAUGUGGGACCCUGUUGUCUAAAAACUAUUCAGAAUCCCAAGUCAGCAACACCAGAGCAUUAAACCAAGCCCAGAGCUUCCUCUGUUCACAGGUCAUGAACUCAUGAGGUCAGCCUGCCCGUGGGACCUUCCCAGCAAUAGUUUCAGUGGGAUAGGCUGAGGCCCUCUCAUUUUGCAGGCCAGAGUCCCAGCCCAGAGCAUUCAGGUGUCUCACAUCACUUUUCUUCUGGCUCACUCAGCAGGGUGAGGCUAGGAACUCUUGGUGCCAAGUCUAGUGUCCCAGUGUCCCCAGUGACUAUCAGUCCCCAGUGGCAGCCCCAGCACUCCCUCCUGCUUGGCUGAGAACCCAGAUCACAGAAAGGGGAUGAUUUAUCUUUAAGUUUGGAUUUAAAAUUUUAAAUGGUACUGAAGUCAAUCGAAUGACUGGCCCCAAAUCUGUACUCCCCUCUUACAGUAUUAGCCAUCCAUGCUUGGCAUGGCUUUAGGGUGAGCAGGGUGCACCUUACCACAUCUUGCCUCUUGGCUUGCCUGUGUUACUUACUUAGGCCAAUGGGAGUGGUUGGGCUUGCCAUCUUGUAUGCCUGUCUUUCACCAUGGAAAGAACAUGCCCUGGGUGUCCACCACCACAAAGAGGAUGAGAGAUGCAUGGACUUGUACCCAACCCACAGUCUACACUCAAGCCCAGCUAAACUGGAGCAGCCGAACCCAGCCAACCUGCAGACAGAGGAGUCAGAAAUAAAUGCUUUAUUGUUUUAGGUUGCUAAGUUUUCAGUAGUUUGUUAAGCAAAAUUACUAUGGCAAUAGCUGGCUGAUAAGUGUCUUAUAACCCAAAGGAUCUAUGACUCACUGGGUGCAGUGGCUCACACCUGUAAUCUCAGCACUUUGGGAGGCUGAGGCAGGAGGAUCGCGUGAACUCAGAAGUUCGCGACCAGCCUGGGCAACAUGGUGAGAUCCCAUCUCUACAAAAAAUAAAAAAGCCAAGUGUGAUGAUGCGCACUGGUAUCCCAGGUACUCAGGUGGCUGAGGCAGGAGGAUUGCUUGAGCCCAGGAGGUCAAGGCCGUGGUGAGCCAUGAUUGCACCACUGCUCUCUAGCCUGGGGGAAAGAGAAAGGCCCUGUCUCAAAAACCAACAACAACAAACUAUGACUCAAUUGACUCCCUCUGAAGCUAAGGAGACUUUUUGUCUCAUAUGCAUUUUCAUGGCUUUUCUGGAGACACCCUAAAGCUGGAGGUCUCAUGCCAUCAGAUCCCUUGAUGUAAAUGAAAGCAUAUCCAUUGGAUUUAUUCUUCACUCUUUCCCCAGCCUCUUAGGCAUCAGCAAUUACUCCAGCUCCCUGCAGCUGAGAUCUGUUUGCCCCUCCAGGGGACCCCCUUGGACAGGACCUAAGAUGAAACCACACUGACCUUCUCUCACACAGAGCCCAAGGUUCCACAUCAUUUGACCUGGCGGACCCCUGGAGUACAGGCCGAUCCCGGUGCAGCAAAAACUUGUGCUUCAAGGAGACUCAGACCCUGGUCAAAUGUGUCCCCCAAACUGCAGGGAAACCAUAUUGAACUUUCCGGAUGAUCUGUUUCAAAUUUUUCCAUCUUGACUUGAGGAGAAGAAGGAUGUACUUCCCAUGCCUUAUCAUAUAGGAAAAUAGAACC
rnacentral:lncRNA from 1 species